AUGAAGAUAUCUGUUCCCCAUUCGGAGACCCCAAGACUUGAGCCCCGCACUGCGGGCAGGAAGUUUGCAGGAAGCGUAGGGAGGGGACACGGGACCAGAAUCUGCGCCUGCGCGGUCCACCCAGGCCGCUCCGCUGGUGGCCAAGGGAGAGGGUGCUGGAAACGGUCGGGUGGGAGCGGAAGCAGAAUGGGCCGGGGAAGGAGGGCAGGAGGAAGGCCCUGGGCAGCCGGACAAAGAGGCACCACAAAAAGAGAAAACCGAAAAAAAAGAACAAUCCAAGCAGGCAGGAAGAAAGAACGUGGCCUGCUCAGCUGCCACCACCAAUCACCACCUGGCGGAAGGCUGCUCAGUUCUGCAGUUGUAGCCUCGAGCAACAUGCAACCAGCCCUUUUCCAGUUUCAUAUCCAGAUAUCUGUUUACUUUAGACUGCCAGCAUGAAACAAAAACUUUUUUUUUUCUUAAAACAUACAAAGGUUAACUCACAUGUUUGUCCGGAAUGGCUAUUAUCAAAGAGACACAGAAUAACACCUGCUGGCAAGGCUGCACGAGGACAGUCAUUAUGGAAAACAGUACGGAGCUUUGCUGAAAAAGGAAAAAGAGCUUUGACCGGAUCACACAGCCCCACUACCGCCCACAGCCAAAAGAACUGAAUCUGCAUUUGCAUGCCUAUUGCAGCACUGACCAGACACAGAUCAGCUGAGGCAUCUGGCCCUGAAUAAAUGCGUACAGACACCACGCCUGUGCAAGAGGGAACAGCCUCAGCCGGAGGGAGGAGUGAAGUUUUACAGCAACAUAGGUGGAACUGGAAGACAUUAUGUUUAGUGAAAUAAACCAGGCUUGGGAAGGCAAAGAUUGCAUUUCUCACUUGUAUCUGGAAGCUAAAGCUGUUCUUGUAGAAGCAGAGUAGAAUAGUGGGGAUCAGAGGUUGGGCAGGGCAUGGUGCACACGUCUGUAAUCCCAGCACUUUGGGGGCUGAGGCAGGAAUAUUGCCAAGAGUUUGAGGCCAGCCUGAACUACAUAAUGAGGCUUUGUCUCAAAAAGCCUAAAACCCCCCCCAAAGAUCUUUCUUCUUGCGACAGACUCAGACCACCGAGUGGUUGGAGUCAACUUGUCCUAGAGGCUGCUGGAGCUGACACCACUGUCCUGCAUACAGCACCCCACCCUGUGUGUUUGCGGCCCAGGAAAAUGUCUUGGACUUGGGAUGUGUAGGCUUCUGUGGCUUUUGCAGAAGUCCAAGGUUUGGAGCAAAGAGGGAAAGAAAGAAAAAGGCAACAAAUCAACUCCAAUGGGCCAGGGGCCAGGCGAACCUCUAUUUCUGUCCUGAACCAAACACGAGUCUGUGCAGAGCUGAGCACAAUCUGACCCAAGGGUUAGACAGCAAAAGGGACAAACACAAAGACAGAGAUGCCAAGCCUUUUGUUCCAUUUUAGUCAGCAGCCUCGAGGACAGCUGGAGCGUGUCCCCUUGUGGUCUGUCACACAGAAAACACCUCAUCCCACCCCAGCAAAUCAAUAAAACCCUGGGGGUCUCUUUCUUCUGGGAGCAGCAGCUCAGUCACUCUCCUGAGUCCCAAUUUGGCAGAAGCCCCGCCCCUCCAGCCCCCAGAAAACUUUGGUUCAGUAGCACAGUAUGGUAACUAUGGCUGGCAACAGUUGUUCAGAUGCAAGCAUCCUGUGUGUGGAAGGUGACUGGAUUGUGGGGCCCUAAACUCAUCAGUGGAUUCAUUCUUGGCUGGGUGCAUUGUUAGGAGGGGGCCUGGUUGGAGGUGGUCACUGGGGUGUGACCUGGAAGGGUGGAUUCUUGUCCCCAGCUCCUCCCUUCUCUCCCUGCAUUCUGGCUGCCAUGACCUAAGCAGCUCUCCUCCGCCAAGCUCUUCCACCAUACUGUUUCUUGGAGCCAGCUGACCAUGGACUGAACCCACUGGAAACCGUGAGCCAAAUAAACUUCUCCUUUCACUUGUGAGUGUUGGGUGCUGUGUUCCAGCAAUGGGAAAGUGACUAAUGCAAGUGUCUACUUCACAGUAGUUAAGAAGAGGCAGGAGGAUCACAAGUUCGAGGCCAGCCUGGGCUACAUAGCAAGACCCUGCCUCAAAAUAAAU
rnacentral:lncRNA from 1 species